UUACACUUUUAAUUUGUUUUAGAGACGUGUCAGGUGUUCUGAUAGAGGCUCACUGUUAUUUGUUAAUAUGGCUACCCAGUUGAGGGAGGUAAAGCGAACAGUGCCAGCGUUCAGCAGAAUAUUAAGUCACUAUGUGAGAUAUUUAGCAACAGCAAUGGUUAAGGACUUCUUAUCAAGAAAUACUCAGUCUUUAUGGUCACAGAUAUGGUGGGCAGCCUGGAAGCAACAGCAAAAAACAGGAAAUGAUGAGUGGUACACAGGCAUUUCCCUAUACUUUCAAUGCCCAGGUGGUAAUGCUUUGAGUCUAAGGGAGGAUAGGGGCGACAGCAGACCAAUAGUGCGUUGGCUUCACGUUUAUGAUGUCAUACGGACUCCUCCCAUUAUACCUCCAUGGUGCAAAUGCAAGAGAAAGCACUAUUUAAAUACAGAAGAUGCAGAGAAACAAUGGUCCUGGGCAAGAGACAAUAAAAUAGGAAUUGCAGCAAGUCAUGAACAGUACAGCACCAGCUCCUGUAGUACAUGACUACACAGCCUCACACGGUCCUCAUCCUUCAACCAGCUGGUGUUGCAUCUCCAUGGUGUUCAGGAAGACAUGGCACUGCACUGCUUGAUCUGGAAAUUAUGUGAUAUCUAUUGUAUUUGUUAAAAACUACUUAGUAAAUUUUGUUGAGAAGCACUCACUUGUUAAUAUUUUUAUAGGGCUUGGGUGAUAGACAUUAUGCUCUGUUUAUAUAUGGCAGUGAAAUGAUAAUAAUAAUAAUAAUGAUAAUAAUUAUAAUAGUGCUAAUAAUUAUUUGACAAAAAAAAGUGCUGAUAAUUAUUUGAGGAAAAAAGCUGAUAGAACUUAUAAUAGUGGAGAGG